AGUAUUCUAAGGCGCUUGAGAGAACUCGGGAGAAGGAACUCGGCAAAUUGGUACCGUAACUUCGGGAUAAGGUACGCCCUGGUAGCUUGACUGGCCUGCGCCAGAAGGGUGAAGGGGUUGCAAUAAAAUGGUGGCUGCGACUGUUUAAUAAAAACACAGCACUCUGCAAACACGAAAGUGGACGUAUAGGGUGUGACGCCUGCCCGGUGCCGGAAGAUUAA
rnacentral:ncRNA from 1 species